AAUCCCCGCAGCAGCAGCAACAGCAGCAGCAGCAGGAGGAGACCUCGGCCGUCGUCGGACUCGCUUAUUAAGCCCUUUGUUCUCGGGGGGCACGAGGGCGCUUCGUACCCUCGGAAGUCGCUGUGACUGGCGGCGGAUCUCGCCGAUUCGAAGGGCGGCUUCAACGUGGAGAGAGAGAGAGAGAGGAAUAAUAUCCUCCUCCCUUCGUCGUGUCUCUUGUGUGGUGGUGUUUGGGUUCGCCAUGUUUAUGAUGUAGAAGUUGUUUUUUGUUUAUUUUUUUUUUUACUUUAAGCGGAUUUGUUUUGUGUUUUUUUUUUACUUGUGGUGAUUCGCGAAUCCUGGUGGUGACGCCCCGCGGGAAGGAAAUCGCCCGAAUCCCCCCCGAAAUCCUCCCACAGGAUUAAGUUGUGACUGCGAGAUGCUCGAGCGUGUGGAGGUGGGUGGUGGUGGCGAUUAUGGCCCAGGUAUAGAGAUGGGAGGCAAAGCAAGCACCCGCAGGUGCGGCGCCGGCGUCGCUGCUGGAGAGGGCCAUCAAGCUCUGCUGCCCCAAGAUCCAGAGCCCUCUCGACUAGUGCUGGAACAGCCGAAUCAGAGGGUGGCUCUGGCCUUGGCCUUCUCCGCUCAGCCAGUCAGGGCGGGGGCGGUGCGUCAUCUAGAGACCGCACUGGAGAUCGCGGACGCGCCCGAUCUCUGUCGAGCGUCCAGGAUACCACUGCAAACGUGCCCUUAACCAUCCCAGCCCUUCUCUCCAGGGCUGGAGGGGGAGCAGGGGGCGGAGGUGGAGGGGCUGGCAGUGAGACGGACGGUAGCUCCCCUGAGGAGUACUUAUUGGACGGCCCUCUCACGACGCUCGGCUUAGGAAGGGUCUUCACAACUCACUCCCUGCCUGCGCAUCUUUGGUCCUUCAAUGGUGAGUGUUGGCUCUUAAUUUUUU